UAGAAAACCACUCACCAAUUUCUGACAACGUGGAUUGUGACAUGUUAAAGUUCUUGUUUAAAUGCGUAAAUAGAUAUAGAUGAAGGGGUCAUGAAGUUCAGAUCUAGACCUACACAUUCAGUUCGUCAGCUCAGGCAGGAGUUUGGCUUAAAGGAUGAAUGUGAAUUUUGGCACCUUCUUUUAAAUAUAGAGGAAUGUUAUGAAAUUUAGGUCAGUAGCUGAACUUUUACAGUGCUCUGUAGGCGCAUGGAUCUGUCUGACGGCUUUAUUUCCAGCUCGGAAUAAAGGACUGAAGACUUGUCUGGCAAUGCCAGUAAGAUUUUCACAUGUCCAUGCAUGAAAUCAGACAAUGCAUGGAAAGGUCAGAACAACAGUCUUCUGUCCAGAAAUUUGAAGAUCUUGUGAAAGCUAGGAGAGGUCUGAGCUAAGUAGUAAUGCAAUUCAGACACCAUCAAUUGAAUAUGAAGACUUCUAUGUCUAAAAGCCUGAGCACCUUGAGGAAUGGUGCUUUUACUCAAAACACAAAGGAAGAAUUGUUAAUAAUGGAGGUGGAUUUUUCUGAAGGGGCACAUAUCUCAGGUCUCUUGUAAGAUCAAUUGCUGUAUGCAGUAUAAUAACAAGAAGCAUGGUGAAUAGACAUCAUUCAAUUUCUAUGUCCUUCAUAGAGUAAAUUAUUUCAGUAAAAUCCCCACUUGCAAAAGUCCUGCUCUUUGACUACCAUCCUAAAGACUGCAUGAAAAGGAAAACGUGAUUACUGUAGUUUGUUAUGCAUAAAUGAAGAACAUUUUAUGUUAAAAAUUAAGGUGUUUAUACUACACUGUAACAUAACUCUAGCUUUACAGAUUUUGUGAAAUCCAUCCUACAGGGUUUUACUGCAAUAAAAAAAAAGAUGUGAGAUCUCAUGCUGUGGAAGGUAUUCCCUAUGGUGGGCCUUCUGCUAUGUCUUCAAUUGCUAUUUAAAAUAUUUGUCAUACUGCAAGCUUUGCAGGUAGGAGGGCUUUUAUUCAUAACAGAGUAAAAUUAAGUGAUGAAAAUUCACACCUUUUAAAAAGGAAAAAAAAAAAAAAACACGCCUAAUUAAGAAAUUAUUAAUAAUGAUUAAUCUGUGCGGGUUAAACCUGAUCCCUUGGAGGUGUAAAUAGCAGACAUUUGAGUAGGAGACAGAGAAAUAAUUCAGCAGGAAAUCAAAUUGUUCAGGACAACCUCAGAUGUGGGGAACACUGGAGAAGCUAGCAUCUAGCAGGUAGGUUGAUUGUACAAAGGAAGAAAAAUGAUUGGACUGUACAAGGUUAAAUGUAAAAAACAAAUAAAAACAGAGGGUUGUGCUAGACUGCUUCUGAAGUUCUUCCAGCUCAAACCUUUCCAGAUAAAAAAUCUGAGUUCUGUGGCCCUGUGGUGGAAGAAAACAGCUUUGCACAAGUUUGCAUUCUCUUUGCAUGGAAAUCAUUGUUUUAACCCCAUUUUGAUGGUGAACACCAAAAUGAAGGUAAUAUCAUGCUAAGA